UAUUAAAUUUGGAACAAAAUUCCUGCCACCCCUGUUGUCUUACUUGCUUAAUUACUAACUUUUUAACAGCUUGAACUCUUUUAAAAUUUAUGUAAUUAUCGAGAGUUGGAUUUUGUUUAAACCUAAGGUAAGCCGCUUUACUAUCAUUGACAGCUGUCGCACACCUGUUAUUCCACCAAGGUACUGCAAUAUGUUUGUGCCUCUUUGAAGUAUUUGCACCGCUAUUUGAUAAGUUCCUACGUGGAACGGAACGUUCCACAGCUGUCAAAAUAAUUUUACAGAACUUAUUGUAAUUGUUUAAGGGUUCAUUGACAUCAUACUCGAAAUCCAAAAGUAAUUGAUUAACAGUUUCAGAAUAAAGAUCCCAAUUAACGAGACAUGCUGCAACGCUCAGAAUUCUUACAGAAUUUAGCUAAAUGUCCAUACCUCAAGCACCGGUAGCAUUGUUUAACUGGUGGUAUAUAUGGAGUGACAUUGUAAUAACCUCCAAUAUCCAGAUAUUCAGGUAAUACAGAUGCAGCAAAAGUAAUUGUCACGGUUAGAGUUGGCUGUAACACAUAUCCAUGAGUCAAGAUUCUGAGUCAGUAGAAGUAUCUUCCGAAUAUAUAUCCUUGUCAUUACAAGGUUCAUGGUCUACAUCACCUGAAUCGUCAUCUUUUUUUUUUCCUUUUCCUACAACUGCGCUUCCCCAUGAAUGCUAAUUAUAUUACUGUCACUGAAUUUAGUGAAAAUAUAAUAUUUUAUUCAAUAAUAAGAAUUGAUAGAGAUAGUUUUUAUAAAUUAAUAAAAAAAUUUAAAAAACCCGCU